rnacentral:rRNA from 1 species
AAGGUUUUCGGAUCGUAAAACUCUGUUGUUAGAGAAGAACAAGGAUGAGAGUAGAACGUUCAUCCCUUGACGGUAUCUAACCAGAAAGCCACGGCUAACUACGUGCCAGCAGCCGCGGUAAUACGUAGGUGGCAAGCGUUGUCCGGAUUUAUUGGGCGUAAAGCGAGCGCAGGCGGUUUCUUAAGUCUGAUGUGAAAGCCCCCGGCUCAACCGGGGAGGGUCAUUGGAAACUGGGAGACUUGAGUGCAGAAGAGGAGAGUGGAAUUCCAUGUGUAGCGGUGAAAUGCGUAGAUAUAUGGAGGAACACCAGUGGCGAAGGCGGCUCUCUGGUCUGUAACUGACGCUGAGGCUCGAAAGCGUGGGGAGCGAACAGGAUUAGAUACCCUGGUAGUCCACGCCGUAAACGAUGAGUGCUAAGUGUUGGAGGGUUUCCGCCCUUCAGUGCUGCAGCAAACGCAUUAAGCACUCCGCCUGGGGAGUACGACCGCAAGGUUGAAACUCAAAGGAAUUGACGGGGGCCCGCACAAGCGGUGGAGCAUGUGGUUUAAUUCGAAGCAACGCGAAGAACCUUACCAGGUCUUGACAUCCUUUGACCACUCUAGAGAUAGAGCUUCCCCUUCGGGGGGCAAAGUGACAGGUGGUGCAUGGUUGUCGUCAGCUCGUGUCGUGAGAUGUUGGGUUAAGUCCCGCAACGAGCGCAACCCUUAUUGUUAGUUGCCAUCAUUUAGUUGGGCACUCUAGCGAGACUGCCGGUGACAAACCGGAGGAAGGGUGGGGGAUGACGUCAAAUCAUCAUGCCCCCUUAUGACCUGGGCUACACACGUGCUACAAUGGGAAGUACAACGAGUUGCGAAGUCGCGAGGCUAAGCUAAUCUCUUAAAGCUUCUCUCAGUUCGGAUUGUAGGCUGCAACUCGCCUACAUGAAGCCGGAAUCGCUAGUAAUCGCGGAUCAGCACGCCGCGGUGAAUACGUUCCCGGGCCUUGUACACACCGCCCGUCACACCACGAGAGUUUGUAACACCCGAAGUCGGUGAGGUAACCUUUUUGGAGCCAGCCGCCUAAGGUGGGAUAGAUGAUUGGGGUGAAGUCGU